rnacentral:rRNA from 1 species
UGGGACUGAGACACGGCCCAGACUCCUACGGGAGGCAGCAGUGGGGAAUAUUGCACAAUGGGCGAAAGCCUGAUGCAGCGACGCCGCGUGAGGGAUGACGGCCUUCGGGUUGUAAACCUCUUUCAGCAGGGAAGAAGCGCAAGUGACGGUACCUGCAGAAGAAGCACCGGCUAACUACGUGCCAGCAGCCGCGGUAAUACGUAGGGUGCGAGCGUUGUCCGGAAUUAUUGGGCGUAAAGAGCUCGUAGGCGGCUUGUCACGUCGGUUGUGAAAGCCCGGGGCUUAACCCCGGGUCUGCAGUCGAUACGGGCAGGCUAGAGUGUGGUAGGGGAGAUCGGAAUUCCUGGUGUAGCGGUGAAAUGCGCAGAUAUCAGGAGGAACACCGGUGGCGAAGGCGGAUCUCUGGGCCAUUACUGACGCUGAGGAGCGAAAGCGUGGGGAGCGAACAGGAUUAGAUACCCUGGUAGUCCACGCCGUAAACGUUGGGAACUAGGUGUUGGCGACAUUCCACGUCGUCGGUGCCGCAGCUAACGCAUUAAGUUCCCCGCCUGGGGAGUACGGCCGC